AAUGAACGCUGGCGGCAGACCUAACACAUGCAAGUCGAACGGAUCCUUCGGGAUUAGUGGCGGACGGGUGAGUAACGCGUGGGAACAUACCCUUUGGUACGGAAUAGCCUCGGGAAACUGGGAGUAAUACCGUAUGUGGUCGAGAGACGAAAGAUUUAUCGCCAAAGGAUUGGCCCGCGUUGGAUUAGGUAGUUGGUGGGGUAAUGGCCUACCAAGCCGACGAUCCAUAGCUGGUUUGAGAGGAUGAUCAGCCACACUGGGACUGAGACACGGCCCAGACUCCUACGGGAGGCAGCAGUAGGGAAUCUUAGACAAUGGGGGAAACCCUGAUCUAGCCAUGCCGCGUGAUCGAUGAAGGCCUUAGGGUUGUAAAGAUCUUUCAGGUGGGAAGAUAAUGACUGUACCACCAGAAGAAGCCCCGGCUAACUCCGUGCCAGCCGCCGCGGUAA
rnacentral:rRNA from 1 species